rnacentral:lncRNA from 1 species
CAAGUUAAUUACGUCAUUUGUAAGACAUAAUAUAAGCGAUGCCCUACAACCAAGUUGUAAAACCGGACGGAUCGGCCGGUUCGACCGUUGAACCGUCGACCGGCCGUGAGAAACGGUCCGGUCAACCCAUUUAACCACGGUGAGUAUCAUUGAACCGCACUGAAAAACCGGCACAAUCCGCAGUUCAAACCCGAAACUGUCGACCCGGAACGGUUUUUGACGAACCGUCACGGGGACUCGGAGAGGUCGAAAGUGAGAGAUGGGUGGAUUCGGUGCCGGUGGAGAGGAAGAAGGGUGAGAGGGGUGGAUUCUUGCCAGUUGGUGGGGAUUCGGUGGGUGAUUCAUGCGCGGUGGUGUGGGAGACUCGGAGAGUUGGUGGAUUCGGUGAUGUCGACGGUGGGUGGAUUCAUUCUACAAUCGUGUAAGAACAUCUUGCGACGUGGUGAUUCGAUUGCCGGUGGUGGUGGCCGGCGGCGAGAGCUGACGGUUGGAAAGCACCGAAAAGAGAGAAGGAGAGGCGUGAAUGAGACGGUAGGACUAGGGCUCUAAGUCUCUGAUACUCUGAAGUUCUGAUCUGAAGUCGUGAAGCUGAAACACAGAGAGAGAAAGGCGUGAUUUGUGACUAAAUUUUGGGAAUUGUUGUUUUAAAAUAAAAUUACACUUUAGACCGUAAUAAUUUUAAUUAAAAUAUAUUUGACUCACAAGUUUAAAUUAUUAUAAUUAGACCCCAAAUCAUAAUUAUUUUUAUUUAUUAUAUAUUAUAAAUAAUUUAUGACGUCACGGUUCGAUAACGGUUCAAUAACGGUUGACCCACCAGUUGAAUCGGUGACCCAUGACCCGGUGUCUUUUCCGGUUCAACCCGGUUUCCGAUUUUUAAAACAUUGCCUACAACGUAAUGGCCCAUACAGAACCCACAAAGGAGACAUUUCACUACCCCUCACAUGGGAUCAAGUGGAUGAGUUCCCAAUACGUGGGUGCAGCUAGCCAAUAAAAAUUUUUCCUUUCCCUUUCAUGGUAACUCGUAUCUCCUCUCUACUUAUCCAGGGGAGCCAUUCCCCACACAUUUACUCUUUCUUCCUUUUUAGUUACUGAUUUGAUCGUAGAAAGUCACCCCUCUAGCAGCUCCAAUAGCCUUUCUCACUUGUUCUUGCCUUGCAAAUUGGUUUCCGGAGGCCUUCGUACACUAGAUGUCACAUUUUUCGUUCCUCUUGUUGCACUGGAUUUCCAUUACCCCACAAGCCCUUAGAGGAUGUUCGGUAGCUACAUCUUCUAUUUUUUUCUAUGUUGAAAAGAUGUGACAAGUUGAAAAAUUGUGCUAGAUUAUUUGUCACAACUUUUACUUUUAUAUUUAGUUAUAAGUCAAAACAACUUUAAAAAAAAAAUAAUUUUUGAGAAGUUCCAUUUUAAUGCUUUUAAACUUUUUUCUUUUCGACUAAUUAAUUUUAGCAUAAAUUCAACUACAACAAACAUUCUCUUAGUGUAAUUAUAGAAUUACAAUAUAAGUCCAAAAGAUUAUGAGAAAAACUAAAAAUAAUUUAUAAAAUAAUAGAAAAACAUGCAAAAGCCGUGUACAGGUUUAUCACCGAAUCUUUCAACUAAUUAGCCAAAAGUCGGCAGGUAAAAUAAAGAAAAAGAAAAACUCCCUGACAAAUAAAUAACAGUAAAAAAUUAUAGUUGUAAUUAUAGAAUUACAAUAUAAGUCAAAAGAUUAUGGAGAAAAACUAAAAAUUUAUAAACUAAUAGAAAACAUGCAAAAGCCGUGUACAGGUUUAUCACCGAAUCUUUCAACUAAUUAGCCAAAAGUCGGCAGGUAAAAUAAAGAAAAAGAAAAACUCCCUGACAAAUAAAUAACAGUAAAAAAUUAUUUGCACCAGCCGGGAAUCGAACCCGGGUCUGUACCGUGGCAGGGUACUAUUCUACCACUAGACCACUGGUGCCUUGUCGGCUAGUUUAUUUUCUUAAAUAAAUUUAUAAAUAUUUAGAUACCAGGGUAGGAUUGGUUUCAGAUACGAACAGCAUGCAUUCUUUAACGCAUUACCUUUUUGUCGUUAUUUACUGACUUUUGUCUGGGCAAUCGCCUAAAAAAUUCUAUCAUAACUCUUUUAAGUAAAAAAAAAUGUUUUUUUUCCUAAAUUUUCUAAAUUAUUUUUGGUACAUAAGCAAAAACAUAAACUAUGGUAAAUAUUGUUGGUAAAAAAUUGAUUCGGCACAUAAAAUUUUAAAGAAUAAUUUCAUUCAUAAACAAUAAUCUAAAAUUUUACAAAACAUCAAAUUACAAAAUUAAAAUUACAAUAACUGAAAUGUGAAGAAAUUAAAUUAGAAAUACAAAUAGUAAAUUAGGCCGAGUCCUGCAAUCGUAGUCUCAUUAAAAAAGAUUCGCCACCUACUGAUACUGUUGUAGCGUGUUAUCGACGUAUUCCUCUCAACGACUGAACAAGCCUUGACAAACUUUCACUUUUUUCUCUCUCUCUAACUCAAAAAAUAUUUUUUAUGAUUUAUAUUGCUGUGUUUUUUCAUCUAAAGCCCUUAACUUUCUAUAGAUAAAAAGAUGACCCUUCAAGUUAGAAACUCCCAACCAUAAACACUCUAUCAUUAGGGCUGUUUAUGGCUUCAAAAUUGCUGCAAUAAUGGUUGAAAACUGCUACAAUUAUUGGAAUAUAACAACUGUCCUUUGAGCUGUUAACACAUUUUAGAGGGGGUUUGGGGUUAUUCUCGCCCUUAAUUGCUUUUCAUUCACAGUAAUUUUUAACAAAAACUUUGACACAAUUUUAAAAAUAAGAAGAGAAAAAAAAGUGAUUUAGGAGUCUUUACCACCGUCCUAAGUGUUAGCAUAUAUUUAGGCCAAGUCACAUUUAUUGGCUUAUGAAUAAUAAUAACCCUAUUAAUUAGAAAUAUAGAUAGAUAGAGAGAGAAUAUUUAGAGAUUUAAAUGCAUAUGUUACCUUAUUUGUAGGGAUAAAUAUUAUUUUCACUUUCUCGAAUGAGAGAUUUUGGGAUCGAAUGUUAUUUCAAAUUUGAUUUUUUUUCUCAUAACUAUAAAACAUAUAUAAGUUUAUAAUAAUGUUAUUAUAAGGGAAAAAAAGAAACAUAUAUCUACAUAAUAUAUAUAUAUAUAUCAAGAAUAUCAGUAUGAUAACGUUAUAAUAGUCAAAUAUAACUUUGUGAUGCAUUACAAUUUUUCGUAACAAAUGUUUUGGUGAAAGAUUUGGAAAAUGGGUUCAAUUUAUAAUUAUGGUGAGUGUUAAUUCCGUGACCUAACUGAAAAUAAAUAUUGUAAAAAAAAAAAUUUUGUUUAUUGGAAGCCUAAAGCUAUUUUUGGGUUUAUUCAUAUCUUAGAAUAUCAAUUUAAUUUUUUAAAUAACCCAAGAACAAUCUAACACCUUUAGGCCUUAACAGGAGCUAUGCACACAAAAAACUUAUUAAUAUAGUACAAUAUAUAUGCUUGUUCGUAUAUCUCAUGAAUAUUUAAUAAUUUUUCAUUACAACUACCUUAAUUCAUCAUCUUUAAUAAAUAUGAAGCAACUAGUAGCGUAUAUGAGUAAGUUUUUUAGAUUUUUUUAACAGUUUUAAUUUUUGAAUUGUUUCAUAUGUAAUCAACUUUUAUCACCGUAUAAUAAAAAACUUAUAUUUUUUUUUGUUCCUCAUAGACUUACGGAAUCUGAAAAUGUAUGUUUUAUCUAAUUUAAAAAAAAUCACUUAAAAAAAAUCACUUUUAAAUUAUUUUUUCACCCCUCGCUUGUCACGCGUUUCACUAUCUACAAGAAUACAAAGCUUUAGCCCAAGCAUCCUAUUUAUUUAGAAUAAUGCUACGGGUGGGUAUAAAACAACGGGUUACACAAAAUUGUACAAAACAAUCAAAACUACGUCGUUUUGAUAAAAAAAAUUCAAAAUGAAAAUUUCUCCAAACCAGACCCUCCCGUGUUUCCCUCCUCUCUCACCGUGAACCAGAGAGAGAGAAGCAAAUCAAAGAAAGAAAGAAGCAAACCCAAAAGGAGCCCCCUUGCCCGACAAGCAACGUCGUCGGUUGCCACCACUCUCGUCGUGUUUGCUGCUUAUCGGAGCUUAUCUGGCCGUGUUCGAGUGGAUUUAUUUUAUGCCACUCCAACCCUGUUAGGUCAGUUCCGAGAUAAGUAAUCUCAUCUCAACCGCAACCUCUAGAUAUUCCCUGCAUUUGUGUGCGAUAGGCUCUAUUGGUAUGGAAUCCUCUGUGUUUCGCAUUUUUCCACAUUCGGAUUCGUCUUUUCUUUCGGCCCUCGCUUUCCAAACGAACACCCGCGUAGAUCUUCUAAUUUCUUCAAUUUUGCCAAUUGAUACGUUUAUCUUGUGACCCAGAUUUGUUUGAUAAUUUUUUCACUUGAUUUUGUAGCCUAGUUAGAUUCGAUUGGUAUCGUUGCCGGUUCAGCACAAAUAUUUGGGGUUGGUUGGGGGGUUAGCAUCACGAGCCUGUGAUUUUGUGAGUCUAGAGCCAAUAAAGGUAAUCAUUUUGAAAUUUGAUUUAUCAUCGUUGUUUUUUGUAUUCAUUUAAUUAAGCACGCAUAGAAUUUGAGACUGCCAUGUUUUUGUAUUGAUCCAAACCAAAAGAUGAAUAAAAGUUGAGUAUAAGGUUAUUGAACGCAAAAAUUGUAUGCAAGUGUCUCUCUCUUGAGACUCUGAUGGCUGAUUCUCAUGUUGGUUAUUUUAAUUUCCAGAAGAAAAUAGUAGGAAAAUGGGCUCUCAUUAAGUUCUAUUAAAGGUCCGUGUUAUAUUACCUCUCAAUUUGAAGAUUUCAAUGGAUGAUGAUGAUGAUGAUUGUGAUAUUUUUGAGGCUAUAUUAUGUUACCUCUCAAUUUCAAUAUUUCACAGUGGUAAAAGACUUCAUUCUAAUGUUGCUUUGUUUGAUUUAUGUAAGUUUUGGAGGCAAGUGGUUGAUUCACAGUGGUAUAUUAAUUUAGUCUUAAAACGAUUUCCUAUGAUGUUACCUUAAAAUUUAUUGUUUUGUGUUAGAUUAUUGUGUUCAAUAGUGUUUAUCUCAUUUAUUUCUUUUAUUUUGAAACGGUAGAUGAUCUGUCGCCAGAGGUCUGUUAACUUCUGGCAAUGCCUCCCAACAAUGAGUGUGGAGAAGAAGAAGAUAGAUGGAGUGGAAAAACAAUGAACGCGAGCAAGAUGGGAAAAAGGUUGACCUAAAUUUGUGAAGAUAGGUGAAGACCGAAGGAGGGGAUGCCAUUGAUACAUCGGAGGAAGCUUAUCUAUUUUACUGUAGAUAUGCCAAAGAAAAGGGUUUUCCGUAUGUAGAAGGAACAAGUCAAAAAGGGAAGCGAUGGAAAGUUGAAAGGAUAUAAACUCUUUCUGCAGUGUGACUGGAAAGGAAAGGCGGGGUUGUAAAAACAAGACAAUCCGGUAAACCGCAGCCACAAUCAAGAAUGAAUUGUCCAGCUCACAUCAUGGUUGUCAACAGGGAUUGGAAAGUUUAACUUAAAUCGGGUUGUUUUGGAUCAUAAUCAUGAACACAAGCCCUGAAAGGCCAAGGAUUUCAAGAGUAAUAGAGAAUUGAUGAGCACGUAAAAAGAAGGCUUGAUUAAAUGAUAAAGCCGGGGGAUUCAAAAUGCACCAAGACUUAUGAGUUACUCAGAUUGAGACUGGGGGGGGACAUGAUAAGGCUUCCAUAUCUUAAGAAGGAUUGCCGGCAAUGAUUUGGACAAACAACGGACGGUUACGACUUCUUGUGGAGGAGGAUGCUGAAGCCAUGCACGAUAUUGCAUGAAAAUGAAAGACGACAAUUCGGACUUUCUUUUUUUGCAUUGGAUUGGUGACAAGGGUCGAUUAAGGAAUGUAUUUUGGGCUGAGCAAGGAGUAGGGCCAGCUGUAAGGAGUUCGGUGAUGUGGGGGCCCUUUGACACAACAACUUAGUAAACAAGCAUGACAUGCCGGGCUUCCAUUUCGUAGGUGUCAUCAUCAUGGUCAAUCUGACUUGUUGGGAUGUGGGCUCAUUUCUAAAGAAGAAUAGAGUCAUUUCGUGGUUAUUUCAGACUUGGAUAAACAUGCAUGUGGGGGUUGUGCCCGGAAAGCAAGUAUACUGACCAAUGUAUGGCCAUGAAGAAUGCUUAUGAAAUGUCAUUACCUAAUACUCAACAUCGGUGGUUGCAUAUGGCAUAUUAUGAAAAGGUGCAUGAAAAAAUUUAGUGGCUACCACGCCUAUCAGAAAAUUAGUUGGUCCAUGCGCUGGAGGCAAUUUAUGAUUCACUGGACAAUUGAACAAUUGAAAAUGCUGGGCAGGGUUCAUCAAAAAAGUACGAGCUCGAAACAGCCCGAAAAAAACGCUAUGGUUAGAGGGGCUUUUGGGUUGUACCGGAGAGGAAACGAUGGUGCCAGCGUAUUUGAAAAGGUAGUUUGGGCAGGGAUGUCAUCCACCCAAAGAAAGAAGGAGGGUAUCAAUGCAUAUUUGAUGGUUAUAUUCAUUUCAAAGACGACCUUGCACCCAAUUGGAAGAGCAAUAUGAAAAGCAUUGGCUUCAAAGGUAGGAAAGUGAAAACCUAACAGAUGUGAAACAGGGGAGCACUUACAUCCCGUAUAGACAAAGGGUGAGUUGGAGAAGCAAUUUCAAAGUGGUUACACGUAUGCGAAGGUGAAGGAGUUUCAGGAACAUUUAUAGGGAAGCUUGACUGUUUAUGAUCAAAGACAAAAGAAGGUGAUAUUGUGUCCGAAUAGGAGGUGAAGCAAUCCAUUACAUUUGGAAGAAAAGAAGAGGCAUAUACGAAACAAGUGUCAUUUAUUGUUAAUUUUAAUGCUAAAACAAUGAAGACAUUGUUAAAUUGUCAAAUGUUGAGUUUAGAGGAAUGGUUGGUACACAUCAACUGAUGGUGUGGCAUCAAAUGGGAGUCAAAAAGUGCCUGAGUAAGUAUGUGUGUUGAGAGUUGAGACGAUGGUUGCACGGAAUGUGAAAGGGGGGGUCCACACGAAAGUUCGGAUUUGUACGAUAAGUCAUCAAGUCAAUUGAAGCACGUCGGCCAUGAUGAAAAUGUGCAAUUUAUUAAUGAUGUUGUUGAUUUAGUAGAAGAAUUCAAGACAAUAUGAUAUGGUGAUGACACAGUUCGAAGCCUAAAACAGAGUGAUGCAAGUUGCAGUUGUUGUUGAAAGUAAUGUCUUUUCAUUGGGUGAUGGGCAUGAGUAUUCAAGAGAAGGAUUCUUUGCACUUGGAAGAUGGGGUUAUAUACCUUCCAAACGGAGCACAAACAUCUUGACCGGAAGGUAGACAACGAAAAGGUAGACCGUCGCCAAAAAGAAGGAUCAGUGUUAUGAAAAAGUUAUUAGAAGAAAGACAAAACCAAAAAGGAAAGCCAUGUCAACGAACAAACAAGGUAUAAGCACUUAAUGUUUAGUUGCUUGGUGUUUUAUAUGAUAUGUAGAUUUUUCGAUGAAUAUCACCCUAUUUAUAUUAUUUGCUUAGUGCAGGAGGUUGAGGGGAUUUCAGUGGCCAUGAUAUCGGGACACAAAAUUUGAGAAGGUUGAAUACUUUUGGUUUUGCUACUAGUUUGAGGGACACAAAUCAUAUUUUAUUUUUAAUUUAAUGCAUUUAUUAUAAUUAAUUAUAUUUAAUUGAAUUAUUUGUAUUUUGUAGAGUCACCAAGUACACGGGCAGUCAAUGUGGACCAAAAUGAGUGGCCCCAAAUUAUGCCACUAAUAUGGGCCAUAAGGCGGAAGGUAUCUACCCAUUUUUCCACCUUUAUGUCCAAUCAAAGAAAACUUGAACCAAUUUAUGCUUCUUUCUAAGGCACAAAGCUUUUUAAAUGAGCAAGUUGGAUGGGACAAUCAAAAAUAUGGUGGGUAGUCAAGUUUGGCAAGGAUCACAACGAAGUCAAGUUGGGAGAGGAGAAACAAUUCAGUUUUUACGGAAAUGAUUGUGAAAAAACAGAAAAUGGUGAAGAGUAGUUAGCAGUUCGAGUUGCAACAGUUCUGUUGUUGUUGUGCUUCAUGUUGAUGUUGCGUCGGUUUGUUUGUCACCUUUGCUUGGUUGUGUGGUUGUGGCUACUAUUUUUGAGGAGUGGUGUGUUUAAUUUUGGAGUUACUUUGCCAUUUUUUUUGUGAUGUAAUGAACACUAUUGACACUUAUAUAUCCAAUGAGAUUGGUAGUUUUGACCUUUGUUUGAUAAAAAAAAAAUUGACAGAGGUUCCCAUUUUUGGUCUUUGAUCGAUAUUUCACGUCGCAAUUCAAUACAACAAUAAUAACAAUUACAUCACUAAGCACACAAUUUUUCGCAUUUCUUCAUUUAAAAUACCAGUCCACAAGCCAGUCAUUAGCCAAAUAAAUCAUAAUAAUGAUGGAAACUUGAAUUUUUAUUGAAUAUUUAAUGCAAUUACAUCAUUUGAGUACAAGUUAUAAGUACAAGUUACAAGCUCCGAGUGAACUAUGCCGAAACAGUAAACAUCCACUUUCUUUGUAUGAUCUUUUUCUUUGAUCAUUUCUAGUGCCAUCCAGCAGUAAGUACCUGUGAAUCCCUUUGCACUGCCACACUGGGAUUCUGAAGUAUCCCUGUGAAGUCUAGUUUGAGAUCCCUUUGAAGUAUCCCUUGAGAAUGAAGAUAUUGCAUCCCAUGUGCAAUGUCAAGGGCCAAUUUCAGAAUAUGUGAGGAGGAGUGAAUAUGGCCUCCUCUUGAUGGAGGGUAUUUUCUAAGCGGGAUCCAGGCUACGUACUCAGUGAUGAUGCAGGAAACACUGGUUUUUUACAGUGCUGGCAAACAAACUGCAUGAAAUCUAUGAAGGUUCAGCUCCAAAAAUCUAAUGAAACUAGUUUUCAUGAAUGACAUCAAUCUAAAAUGCAGUCUCGCUAUGUAAAUAUAUUAGUGAAAAACUUCUCUGUGGGCUAUAUUUUGCAAGCCCUGUGGCAGAUGAAGCUAAACAUAAAAAAUUCAUAUGAUCAAAAUUAAAACAAAAAAAAUUGUUCUGAAAUGACUAAGCAAAAUAAAGAGUGGUUGGAGUAUGGUAACGAAAAUGUGAUGGGAUAAAAUUGAUUUUGUACCAUGUGUGUACUCUUGCUUUAGCUAAAAUUGGUAGUGGUGUGCUGAAGCUUGUACGACUAUGAGAUGAUGGUUGAAAGUUGGCGGGGUGACAAAGUGGAUGAUAAAUUGCAUCCUCCAGCUUAUCCACCCGUCAAUUGUUCAGCAACCAAUACACAUGCAUUUACUAUAAAGUAGCAGUCGAAUAUGGGUUAGAGUCUACAGAAGGUCUAGAGGACAAUAAGUGACUAAAAUCUUUUUGAAUUCCAAGUAAUUCGUUCAGAUUGUUUACUUGCCAUUAUGCAUUGUUUUGAAGUAAUUUGUAGGACAUUGAUAGCAAUAUGCAAUGAAGUUGCCUUCUAGACAUAAAAAGGAUUGGAAGCCCAAUUUCUCUAGGAUUGAUUUACUCGGUUGUUUUCUGCAAACCAUAACUGCAGAUAAAAAAGAAAAAACACUCCCUUAUGAUAUGAAUACAUUUUUUUUCCCUUUUCAACGUGGAUUACCCCAUGCUAAGAAAAAUUCUCCUGCUAAGGAUUUGUAGCUCUACAGGAUAUAUUCUCAUACUACUCUAAUCAUUGUCACACUAUAAGUUCACAAGCCACCUAUAGCUAAAUCUCUUAUUUUUGGUUUUUUAAACUAAACUCUACAUCCUGGAUUUGAAAUCACUGUACCAAAUGGAGCUUAGCUUUAAGGUUUUCAAUCCUCGGGUGAUAUGCAUGUGAAAAUUCAAAAGUUAGAGAUUCCAGAUUGUGAGAACCUGUUUUUUUUGUUCUGUGCGUCAUUAGUUCAAUGUGGUUCUACAUUUCUAUUUUUUUUGAUAAAUUUACUAGUUUUUUACCAUUCUGUUUCUGAAGGAUGGGAGGUAUCGGUUGAAGCACUGGGAAGUGGGAAAGCUGCCCUUAAUAGAUGACCAGGAAAGAGCAGUUUUACAUGAACAGAAGGCUCAAGUUUUACUUGAAAAUGGAGAAUCAUGGAAGCUUUAAAGGCAGCAAAACAGUGAGGUCCCUAUUUUUGAUUUUCCUGGUGGAUACACUUUUUAAUCAUUCUGCAUAAUGCAUUUAUUGGGGGCAUGUGCGUGUUUAUUUGCAUAUCAUUUGGAAUUGUGAAGUCCCAUUACAGUGAAAUUAUUUGGCCAAGUUUGGACCGAAUAAAAUUUUUGGAUUUCUUCUUCAAUCUCAAUUAUGGUUCACCCGUUCAAAUCAUAACUAUUUCUAUGGUUCCAUGCUUCUAGUAAACCAUUUAGCUAUGUAGAUGACCGGUUCUAAGAUUGUUUGUUAUGCAAUGAGUUUUCGGACAAUACGCCAUUUAUACAUAUUACCUGUCUUAGUAGACCGCAGGAGCAACGAAUGGAAGCCAUAUGGCUGAGGUUUGUGGAACACUUUUACUACUUAGACAUGCUUUCAACCAUCAUUAAUGCAGUUGCGCAGGGGAAAACCAAAGGGAACGAAGAAACAAUCAGGUUAAACAAAGAAAAAGAAAUAUAUAUAACUCAUGUAGGAAGGAUAAAGAAAUAGAUCACGAUUGGAAGAUGAUUGAAGAGCCACAGUAGUGCGGCGAGCACGAAGCAAUCAGAGUCAGGAUCCCUGCUCUGUCUACCUCCAACUCUCUUUCAUUCCCUUUGCUGAUACACCCUCUGUAAAUCCUACUGUGCAUUCCAGACGCAAAUUUGUUUCCGAUGAGCAGCUAAAUAUCCGCCACCUUGAUCGCCGCGGGACGGACAACAAAUAAAGGUACGCAAAUAAAGGUUAACGUCUGAUUGAAUUCGACACGCUAAAAAAAUAUAGAGUUUAAUUUAGUAAAAUUAAAAUUUUAUAAUUUAAUUUGUUACCAGUAUCAAAUCUUAGUUCUUUUUAUAAUUUUCCCUACCUUUUUUCGUCUCCUAUCGCCCAUCGCCAGCUGUGAAAACGGAAAUAAUCAAAUACCUAUAAAUCUCACCGUCCUCUCCACUCUCUCUCUUCAUCAGUUUCAUCUUUGGAUCUUUCAUCUCAUUCUUUUCAAAACCAAACCGCCCACUGGUCCCCUCUCUCUCUCCACCACCUUCUUCUUUCGAUAUUUCAUCUCACUCUUCAAACCCUAACCCCUCGAAUCAGUUAGGUUCUUGCCAAUGUUCUUCUUGGGCUAUGUCCAACCCUAAAUGUUGCUGCCCAAAACGAGUACCAGGCAUUACCAAACAUAAACCACACACACAAGACAAGAUAUAAGUGGUUCGGCCAACAUGCCUAAAUCCACGGAGAGAACCAUAAUCACUAUCUCUGAAAGGAAUACAAUGAGUACAAAAUAGGGGAGGGCGCUCAUCUCCACUCACCUCUCAGCAAUCUCUCAAUCUCUCACCAUCUCACUGUCUCUCAUGAUCUCACAGCUCACACCCAUCUCUGAUCUCUGUGCUCUCAAAGCACCAUUAGCAAAUCCCUCUCUCCAGGCUCAUUCUGCAAACAGCACUGCUUGGUGCCCUUAUCACACGCCCCAGGCCCCUUUUACAUUUCUAAGAUGCGCAUCGUUCCUUUCUCCUAGGUUCCUAUUAUUAGGAGAAAUCCUAGCCUCAAUAGAAGACUUUCUCAAACUCUUCUUUCGGCCAUCCUGCCUCAUUCUUGACUUUAUGCUGCCUCCAUUCUUGGAAUUUCUUCGCAGCGCCGCAGCAUCUUCUUUUUGUCUUUCUUUAUUUCUUCUUCCUUUCCUUCUCAUUUGAAGAAAGAAGAAAGAUUGGUCGUGGCUUGGGCUUGACAACAAGGGCUUUGGCUUUCUUCUUGGGCCCUGAGUUCAAUUGGGUUUAGUGGGGGCCUCCAAUUGGGCUGGAUCCAACAAUCUCCGCCCCCUCCAGCCCUUGGAGGGUAAUCUAAGUAUUCAAGUUUCCUUCCCGACACUUCCUGGUCCCAGCUCUCCUGUAAGAUUCUGCAAGACGUAUCCAGAUACGUGACCCCCUUCAAAGGGCAACUCACUUCCACCGAAGUGAAUGCACUUCUAAACCGUAAGUACCUGCACCUUCGCAGUAGGUGCCGUGCUCCCCCGCACCGAGGUGCGCUGGCAGUAACGUCGCUUUGCAGUCGUCGUGACUACAUCUCCUCCUUCCUUGUGGGCACACUGGAGAUCACCGCCACUGGGAUUGGCGAAAGAGACUCGUUCGGCGACGUCGCGCCUGUCGUUUGUGCUCGACUCUGUCUCUCUCCUCUGAGCUUCUCUGGACAUCCUCACUGGUUGCACCUUCCGUGUUUGGCCAACUUCCCCGCACGGAUCCUAAGGCAUCUUCUUGCGCUCCUGUUCCACUAUGGAUCCUUUCAAUACUCCACCGGUCUCCUGCGCUUGCUUUGCGGGCCUCUGUGCAACGAUGGCUUUCCCGGCCUGCAUCUUGUUAAAUACCAUGGACCUAUGUCGGACACAGCUCUCAUGUCUGACUUCUUCCCUCAUCGGUAUACUGCCAUUCUUCCUUCUCCUGAAGUCUUCUCCUUUUCCCUUGGACUCUGAUAUUCCUCCACUAGUUAAUAAGCUUCAUCGCUUCGACUCCUGCAUUCAAUGAAACAUGCCUUACCCAGGUCACCUUCAUGGAUCUCCGUCUCCAUGCGGAAACCGACUGUCCUUUGCCAACAUCGGGUCGUUAGCCUCCGUACAAGUCCCUCGCAUGCUACAUGUGUAGAGAAUACGCUCUCUGUCUCUGGCAUAUUGGUAAGCAAUGCUUGAAAUCAGAAUUGCAAUCGACUCUUUCAUCUGCCGAUACGGCGAGGAGACAUCACUCUCAUCCACACCAUCAUUGAUGUUUUGUUUUUCCUCUGAGACUGAUCUUGUGCUUUGUUCCUUGGGCAUUCUUCUGCCCUCUUGGUCCCGCAAUAAAAGCACUUAAGUGCGACCGCUGGAUUCUGCCGUCCGCCAUCAUCUGCCGUAUCUUUUCUUUUGACCUCUUCCUCGUGACCUCGGUACCUCCUUCUUGGACCUCUUCGCUGCCUCUUCUGUUGACCUCUUCGGUGGCCCGGAACUCGCUCGUUUGUUCCGCACUUGUAGUCCUCUUUGGACUUCACACAAGCCGCCUCAUUAAGGCUUUGGUCUGAGAUGUCUUCUCCCUGUACAUCUCCUUCAACUUGGUCCACAACCCUAGUACGCGUCUCAUCGUGCUCUGUGGAACACCCCUGUGUUCAAUCAUUAUCUGAUCGGCAACACUCAUCUCAUCGUGCUACGUGUGGAACCCUCUUGUCCAUGCAGGUGUCUGAUCGACCCAAGCACUUCCUGGUCUCUCAUUCUCAUCCUUGUUUUCCUGGGGCGUAAUCUCACAUCUGAAGCAUGAGCAAGGCUCUCAAUACUCCGCCUCUUUACUUCUCAAAUGGAAGCAAAAAUCAGUGAAAACGACCUCGCGGAUGAAUCCGAAUGCCGAGAAAACUUAGAAGAGCUUUUUCUUUCAAAAUCAACACUAUGGGACCACUGAAUAAAUCAGAACUUCAGGGACUAAAUUGCAAUUUUCAAACUUCAGGGACCAUCUGUAAUUAACAUAAAGCCAGGGACUGAAAGUGCAAUUACUAUUUUGGUCAAGGUCACGGUGUUUGACCAAUUGUCAACGUCUUAUCACUCGGCUCGGCUCGUGGCAGUGGCGGCGCCAACGCAGGUCAACCGGCUCGGGGUUGACCCAGUCAACGGCUGGGUUGACUGUCCCUGCUGUAUUGGUUUUUUUUUUAAUCUCUAGACUAAUUAUUUUCCCAUCUUUUCCUUUCUCGUUUUCUUUUGCUUUUUUCUUAAGCUCAUGAUGAUGUCUCCCAUGGAAUCUCCUCCUCCAGUAGAGUCAUCAUCUUCCUCUCCGGCACGCGUGGGCGCGCGUGUGGCCGUGGGGGGGUGGCGUGGGGCGCGUGUCUGACGCGCCGACUUCAUGGCGGCGCGUGAAGGCUCGUUUUUUUGAACUUCGAUUGAAUCCGUUGGUGCGCGUUUCGUCUCGACGAGACGAACUGUUGGUAUGCUCAAACGCUAUUUUUGAGCACUUCGGAUUUGUCAAAUUCAAAUCGGUCUUCCGUCGCCCCGAAAUCGCUCCAGUGAACUCUCGGUGAAUCGAACUUGGCUUCUGAUACCAAUUGUUGUUCCCAAAACGAGUACCAGUCACGCGAACCAACAUAACCAACACACGAGACGAUAUACCGUGGUUCGGCACAACAAUGCCUACAUCUACGGAGAGGAACAAUAUUCACUCAUCCUGAAUGAAUUACAAUGGUACAGUAUGGAGGAGCUUCAUCGCCCUCACCUCUCAGCACUACUCUCAAUCUCUCACCAUCAUCACUGUCUCUCUCGGACUCACGCUCACCCCCUCUCCUCUCUUCCUCAAAGCCACCAUAGCAAAUCCCUCUCUCCCGCCCAUCUCCCCAGCAUUCUGCUGUGUGAACUUAGCAAGGCCCCCCAGCCCCUACAUGUCUCUAUGCUGAGCAUCUUUUCCUUGCUCCCUAGGUCCUAUUUAUAGGAGAAUCCAGCCUCAAUAGAAGAAUUUCCAGCUCUUCUUUCGGCAUUCGCUGCCUCCAUUCUUUACUUUCUGCUGCCGCAUUCUUGACUUUCUUCGCAGCGCCGUCAACAGCUUAUUUGUCUGUCUUUCUUUCUCGUCCUUUCCAUUCUCAUUUAGAGAAAGAAGGAAAGAUUGGUCAUGGGCUUGGGCUUGACAACAAAGGGCUUGGGCUUUCUUAUUGGGCCUGGGUUCCAAUUGGGUUGGCCUCCAUUUGGGCUGAUCCAACAAAACCUACCCCUCCUCUCUCAAUCUUCAAGAACCCAAUUCACCAAUCUUGACGUUUAUCAUCGAUUUUCACGUCACAAUGUUACCAUUUGUCUUUGAUCAAUCGCCCGAAUCUUGCACGCUCUCUCUCUCUCAACCAGUUUCUUGUUUCCUCUUUCGUUCACUUUGGUUCAACCUAACCUCGUUCUCUCUCUCAAAUCUUCAAGAACCAAUUAAUCAAUAUUGAUCGGUUGAUCGUUUUAUUUCAAGUACAAUGUUACCUUUCUCUUCGAUCAGAUCUGCGCGAAUCAUUUUGGUUGUCGCUACGUCUCUCUCUCUUACCCACUCUUUCUCUUUCUAUCUCUAUAUGUAACCCAAUGGCACAAAUAACUAUAAGACUCUUUUGGAUCAAGCAUUUGUGGGGGUGAAAGAAGAGUUUUUUGGGGGAGUGGUGCCUCUACAAAUCAGGCGGUUUCAUCACUGUCAACCUCACUAAAUUCUUUCAUCCAACCAGCCUAAAGAUUCUUGAAGUUAGCGUCUCUGUCUGUUUUGGUAGUUUCCGUGAAGUCCGAGGACCCGGUGGUUUUCAAAGAAUUCUUGACUUCUCUUUGAAACGGAUUGAUUGAGAGACAUAUAUCAGUAUGUUUUGUUUUCCUCUUUCUCUUAUUCGUUCGAGUUUAACUGUUUCCUUCGCUAAUCAAAUUAUUAUAACGUGAUAAAAAAUUUAUAGUUCUUGAACUGAUUUUAAUUUUCGCUUCCCUCAAAACACCAACAGCGACAUAUCAUAACUGCAUAGCUUUUCAAAAUCGAAUGUGAUUUUAUUGGAAGCCCUAAAGCUAUUUUUGGGUUUAUUCCAAUCUUAGAAUACAUUUUAUUUUUUAAAUACCCAAGACCUAGCUACAAACCAAAAUUUAGGCCUUAAUAGGACUAUCAACAAAAAAAAUCUUUUAUAUAGUACAAUAUAUAUGCUUGCUCGUAUAUCUCAUGAAUAUUUAAUAAUUUUUCCAUACAACUACAUUAUCCAUCAUCUUUAAUAAGGCUCCGUUUGGUAUGCUUAAAAGACAGCCUUUUUUAAGCUUGCUACAAAAGGUCAGAAUUUGUUUGAUUUUUUUUGUUUUUGUGGCUUUAUUUUGCUAAAACUAAGCAAAAAAGCAUAUCAGAAAAGCAAAAAAGCCAAGCUGUUGGCUUUUCUGCUUAUUUUAAAGUCAAAAAGCCAGAAAAAAGCUGAAAAAGCUGGUGCCAAACGGAGCUAAUAUGGCAGCACCAGUAGGCACAUAUAGUAAGUUUGUUAAUUUUUUACAUUUUAUUUUUGAAUUUUUUUGCAUUUAAUCAACUUUUAUCACCGUAUAAUAAAAAACUUAUACUUUUUUUGUUCAUCUAGACUUACGAAAUCUGAAAAUGUAUUUUUUAUCUAAUUUAAAAAACCUUUAGAUUUACGAAAUCUGAAAAUGUAUUUUUUAUCUAAUUUAAAAAACCUUUAGAUUUACGAAAUCUGAAAAUAUAUUUUUUAUCUAAUUUAAAAAAAAUCACUUUUAAAUUGUUUUUUCAUCCCUCGCUUGUCAUGUGUUUCACUAUCUACAAAGCUUUAGCCACUAGCAUGACUAUUAACCGUUCAAUAAGAAUGUUGACAAUAACAAUUUUAUCACCAUUUAUCUCUUGACACGUGCGUGCAAGGACUGUCAAUUGUGAAUAUACGAGUGCAUGACUCAAAGUUUUGAUUAUUUUAAAACUAGUAAAAGUUGAAUUUUGUCUGAUGCUUUUAAGCUGACAUAUCUUUUUCAAAAUUUAGGUUUUACUAAUAUUUAUUUUAUUUUUUAUGUUUUUGUCUUUUUAAAAAACUACCAGGGUUUUGACUAAUAAUAAAUUAAAUGCUAAAAUUUUAGUCUCAUAAUUUGACCAUCUGGUAGUCCCUCUGUUAUUUAACUUGACAAUACUAGAUUGUUCUCCCAAAAUAAUUGGGAAGAAUGAUGUUGCGGAAUUGUGAUCCCUUGAAAAAAUCAUAAUCCCUACAAUUAGGACAUAUAUUUAACGAAAAUUUUUGGAAAAGAUUGACAACUUGAUGGAAGAAAUGUUGAAAUUCAAGCACAAUAUGUGAGACUAGGACUUUUAAGGGGCCCGGUGUACCAUCCUGUUGUUCCAAAUCAAUUGUUCUGGUGAAAACUUUUUAGUUCAGUCAACAUACACAACAUAAAAGGGGGUUAAUAUAUGGUUUACAUUAUGAUAAAUUAAAAAAUAUAGAGUUUGAUUUGUUAAAAUUAAAAUUCUAUAAUUUAAUUUUUUAUCGGUGUCAAACCUUAGGGUUCAUUUUAUAAUUUUCUCUACCUUUUUUUCGUCUCCCAUACGCCCAUCGACAGCUGUUGAAAACGAACGCAAGACCUAUAAAUCUCACGUCCGCUCCACUCUCUCUCUUCAUCAGUUUCUCUGGAUCUUUCAUCUCAUUCUUCAACCACCGCCCACCUGGUCCCCCUCGUCUCCACACUUUCUUCCCUCCGAAUCGUUAGGUUUCUUGUAUGUUUUUUCUGUCGCUAUGUUUCAAACCCUAAACCUAUCCUCCUCUCUCUUCUCAAAUCUUCAAGAACCAAUCACCACGUGAACGGGUUGAUCAUUCGAUUUCAACAUCACGUCCAUUUUACUUGACCAAUCAGCCCGAAAUUCCCUUGCAACGUCCUCUCUCGCCAGUUUUCUUGUUUCGCUCUUCGUCCUUGUUCCAAGCCCUAAGACGCUCUUUUCUAUCUCUCUCAAAUCCUUCAAGAACAACUAAUCACUAUUGUCGAUUUGAUAGUUUUAUUUCAAGUCAAAAUGUUUUUACUUGUCUCUCGAUCAGAAUCUGCGCGAAUCGUUUGGUUGUCGCUACGUCUCGCUCUUCUCGCUCAAUUCCUCAUCUCAUUCACCAGUUUCUUCUUUCGCUCACUCUGUUUCAAACCUAAACCCCUGUCUCUCUCUGUCUCGUCUCUCUCCGUCUCUCAGAUCUUCAAGCACCAAUUCACAAUCUUGGAUUGGUUGAUCCUUCGUGCCACACAAUGUGUCUUCUCGUUUUUAUCAGUGCAAUCAUGUUCAGUUCUACUUCGGAGCUUACAUUCCAUUGGAACCCCAUUUUUUUUUUGGCAACUCCGUUAGGUACGGCGGACGAUCUCUCUCUAUGAGUUGGAAUCUGCAUAUGAGUAGUUGCUCAUCACUCUGUCUCAGGCAUGGUAUGACCGAUAAGGUAGGCAGAAUUUGAAAUUGGUUCGAAUCUCAAGUAUUGGGCGGAUAACAAUGAUCAUAUCAAUGCAAAUGGUUUAUACCAUUCAAUAAAUAAAGAAGAAAGAAAAAAAAAGAAGAAAAAAUGAGCCAGUUUAAAUUUGUGCAUUGAACUUGUCACUGAAGGACCAAAUAACUUUCCUUGUUUUUUUUGCCUUUAUCUGUUUUCUAUCCUACCAAACAAUCAUGGUUUUGUACCCUACAAUUGAUCAACAAAUGAAUGGUUUUUCCCAUCCAAAGGUACACAUGAAUUUGAUUACGGUUAUAGUAUGUAUCUUCACUUGUUCUUGAUGGAAGAUAUUUAUUAGCCAUUGAUAUUGUUUCCUCUUAUAAUGUGCUAUGAGGCCAAGAUCUGCAUCACGCCAAAGAAAGAAAAGAAAUAAGAUUUUUGGAGAGUAGGGAGUGGUGGAUAGCGAGAAUUGGAUUGUGAAUCAAGAUUGGCUCUUAUCUUCAAGUCAAGCUCAAAUGACAUUCAUUGUGAUCAAACUGGCUUUAAGUGCUUUAUAUAAAGGAUUGAACUUGAGCUAGAUUCUCAGUUUGUCCUCGUCUAUUAUGCAGUUUCUUUUGGUGACUCUGAAUUUGUUAAAAGAGGCUGCUUAUAUUCUAUUAUUUAUUUGUUGUAGCUUCUAACCCAGCCUAACUCUUUUAUGCUAUCUGGUGUUCCAUAUGAAUAAUCAUUUAUUUUUUUUUUAGGAAACGCUUAACGAAAUGCUAGGAUGUAGUUACUUUCAUUUUUAUUUUCCUUGCAGUCUUAUGCUAUAUCUUUGGUAAGGGGUAAUCAUGUUUUGCCUUUGCAUACUCCCCCUAUAACUCCUGCAAUAUAAAGUGUACUCCAUGUUGUCCCCAUAUUAGUGGGUGAUUCCAAUGCGGUGUAUCAAUUCUCAGCUUUGCAAUCGACAUCCCAGGGUUAGAGUGCAGGAUUCAUGGAUGUGAUGAAAAUAGAGCAAGGUUACGUGAUUUUAGUAGCAACAUUUCUAGGAGCUGAAGGUAAAAGUAUGGGUGAAAAGUGUUUUAUGUUUUUAUUUGUUUCUUACGUUGUUUUUGAAGCCUUUUAUCUUUUUAUUUAUUUAUAUUUAUCUUUUUAGUUGUUUAUUGCCAGUUUUAUUUCUGUGCCUUUUAUGGUUUUGGUGAAUGUGGGGGUGGAAAGAUUGAGGAAGACAUGUUGUAUGUCCUAAAAGAUCCGGUGCGCUCUCUCUCCCUCUCAUUUUCUUAAUUGCAACCCUGCUUGUACCAGCAUUUGGGUCCAAUUCUUGGCAGCUCAUUAGUAUCUUAUUUCAUUUGUACUUCCUUUUAGUUCAUUUUCCGAAGAUAUUGAGAAACUUCAUGACUUCACCCUCAUUCUAUCUUCCUCAUCUUCCUUCUAUCGCCAUGGGAAUCAAGUAGUUCUCUUCUCUUCUAUCUUUUUAUCUAGUUAGAUCUCUAUUUUUUGUGUCUCAACCUUACACGCUUUUUUCUGAAGCUCCCAAUCAAAAUGAAAUGAGACAAGAAGGUCUCCACCAUGAUGUUAUUUUUCUUCUCUAACUUACACAGGAGGGAGGCUAUUGUGUCUUCCCAAACUGAAGAUAGAAAAGGUGGUUUUAAAAUACGAAUCUUUUGACUACAUAGGCAUGUAAAUUAUUCUUUUUAUGUGCUAUACAAUAUAGUAUGACUUGACUAACAAUUGAAUUGGCUAAGUGCUAGCUUUAUAAGAAUCUCUCCCAAACCCGAAAAAAAUUCAACACGCUAGGAGCUUACGGAAUGGCUGGGGUUUAUAGCGGAUGUUUAGUUCAAUGCGCUUAAUCUGCCAGUUUGCUCCUGGAAAAUUUCUCUACUUCCAAGAAUCCCACUUCUUCCAACUGAAAAUUAAGCUUUCGCCUUCCAGUUCAAACAUAUGUAGAUCCUAAUCCAUCUAUGCUUUGCUAUGACAAUCAAUAAGGUACAUGGUGUCAAGGACAAACAAUUCCAUCUUAAAAUGUUUUUUCACAUGGCAACUAUAAGUAGCAUUGUCUCAUGGAACCUCUAUGGGGUCUGCAAAAGUGCUGGUCAGAACAGGAGCUUACCAAAAUAAAUAAAAUAAAUAAAUUAAAAAAUGUCAAAAAUGUUACUUGGUGAAGCAGAAAACUUGAUUGUUCUUUGAACCUGCAAUAAAUAUGUUAGACGGACUAAGAAAGGGUAUGUCGACAUUUUUCCCCUUUCUAACUGCCUUUUUAGAAUCAACUCAUCAUUUAUUUAUUUGAGUCUCUUUCAUUUUGCUUCUUCACUAAACCUAUUCGAAUCCAUACUAACAGAAAAGUUGUUCUUUGUUUGAGCAUUUCCCUUGCCAUAUUCCUUUGUAAUAUGUCCUAACUUGAUAUUCUUUCUUGAUCUAUUAUCACUUGACUCUGCAACUGCAGAUUAAUAGCAUUGAACAAUGGCAAUGCUGGUCUUUCUAGUCACCAAUCUGAGAGAAAAGUGUGGGAAAGUAAUUUUCAAAAGGUUAAAAACUUACCGUUGUACAUUAAGCAUGCAAGAUCUAGCCUUUAUCGUUUCUCAUACUUACAACAUUCUUUUUUAGUUUCAGCCUAGGGUAAUUAACAUAAGAUUUUACAAUGUUUUUCUAACUUCUCUAUAGAGUCCUUGCACUUCCUCAAGCACAUUGUUGUUUUCGUACCAUGGCAGAGGAUAAUGAAAUGGGAACUAUGGCAUUGUCCUGGCAUAGAGAUAGCCAUAUUUUGGACUAAUUUCAUACUGUAGCAGAUCGGCCUAUUGGAUCGGGCUGGGCAAGCCCGGACCGGUACUGUAGCGGUUAGGCUUAUCCGACCCGUGACCGUUGAACCCGUUACGAUUUCGGGUUCGUGUAAGCCUAACCCGCCCAAUUUGCAGCUCUGAAUCUAAUGAAUCCCCAGAACAUUGCAGCCCCUUCACUAUGCUGUUGUUUACAGUGACUUAUAUAACUUUUAGACUUGCAGGUUCCCCCAACCACACUUAAAACAUAACAUCCGAACGUGGGAUUCGCUACUAAAUACUCUCAAACACUCGAAAAAUUAAAAACAUUUAUGUUAAAAUAAGGUUUUUGUCACACCGAUGACAAAUCCUAUAGAGAAAUUAUAGACCCAAACAGACAAGCAUAGCUUUAGUUGAAAUAGAACCAUCAAUCAUAGAUAGGUUUGUUGAUCUAUUUAGAUAAAGAAUUUGGAUAACAAAUUUAGUGAGAAAAAUUAAAAUAGAGAUUCAACCUCGAAACUAUCAUAAUCUAAUCUAUCUUUUUUUAUUUUAGGUUAUUUUGUUUAUUCCCCUCACUAAAUUCUUGAUUCAAAAUAAUCUUGAAAUUUGUUUAAUGGAAAAAUUCUUUCACUAUAUAUGGUUUUUUGUGGCAUUGCUGAGAGGUCAUCAGAAGGGCUUCGGAUGCCUGGAGCAUUUCAUCCGAAUCCUACCUAGGGCAUGACCAAGGUCACUCCGCCCAAUUUAAUAUGGGCACAAGUCACGCAAGUCAGCACAAUGUAGUUUAAGUAUUUUGAGUUUUAUUUUGAUCUAUUUGAUGUACCAUAGUUCAUAUAUAGAGUUUUCUUGAUAAGAGAAGUCAAAAAAUAUAAUUUUUAAUUUGGUAAAAAGUGCACUAAAAUUUUCAUCUAAUAAGAUUUUCUUGAAUUUUUAAAUUGUUCAAAAUUUUGGGUUUCCUUAUUUUUUUCCCCCCAAAAAAUUCACUAGAAGAUUCACCAUCUUUUUUUAAAAAAAUGCUUUCAAUUAGUUUUCAUGUAAUCAUUAGUUCUUAAUUAUUUUCUAUGUAAUUAAUUACUCUACUUAUCUAUCAUUAAUUCUAUGUCGACAACAGGCCUAAAUUACCACAUGUAUGCUGAUUAGAAAUGUUAAAAACAUAUGUGCAUUCAAAAUAAAGGCUGCCUACUAAUAGGAUGAGUUCAUUAAAAAAUAUAGCUGCAAAUAAGCCCUAGUAAUUAAGUUCUUCCUUAAAUUACUACUACUAUUUACCUCAUGAUUCACUUUAUUUUUGUUCUUAUUUGUUUUGUUUUAUCCCAAAUUCCACACUUAUCCCCAACUAAGAAUAUUUAUCUUUGACAAUACGGUCCAAUUUGAGUUAGUUUGUUUUUAACUAUCUAGUUUUUUGUUUAGUUUUUGAUUUUUUUUUGUUUUUAGUGACUUGUUUAACUAUUAAUUUUUUUUUGUGUGUAAUAACUUUGUUAUUGAACUAUUAAAAAGGUCUUUAAAGACCCAAAAUUCAAAAGUAAAGCAACUAAAAGAGCCAAAGAAAUUGACCCAAUGCCCUAAUUUGAGAAUACAGUCACCAACAUUGAUGGGGACGGGAUGUGAUUGCGUAGUAUUCAUAGAAGACCUCCGAGAUAUAUAUAGAGUAUUUUCGAGUAGAUACUUUUGAGCCGAUGACUAUUGUUACACUAACACCUAAAGACUAAAUGCCUUCUUCAGACCACUAUUAAUAUUCAUAUUCCGCACGCCUUGUCCCCUUUCAUGAAAAAGGAUCUACAAUCGCAUAUUAACAAUAAUCUAAUCAAUGAUCGUACGACAACAUAUUUGCAACAGAAUCAUACGUUGGCCGUUUUAUUUCGAGAUCUUCAUAUAACAACAUUUUCAUACGAAUUGUACAAUCCGUAAAGAUAUGUUUUCCUGCUAAGUCUUUGCCCUUUUUAUAUAGUAG